UACGGGGGGGAGCAAGCGUUGUUCGGAUUUACUGGGCGUAAAGGGCGCGUAGGCGGCCUGUGCAAGUCAGUUGUGAAAUCUCCGGGCUUAACUCGGAAAGGUCAACUGAUACUGCUCGGCUAGAGUGCGGAAGGGGCAACUGGAAUUCUUGGUGUAGCGGUGAAAUGCGUAGAUAUCAAGAGGAACACCUGCGGCGAAGGCGGGUUGCUGGGCCGACACUGACGCUGAUGCGCGAAAGCCAGGGGAGCGAACGGGG
rnacentral:rRNA from 1 species